ACGUACCAAAAAGAACGACAGGACCGACCCCGGAUGAAUAUCGUGGCGGCGCAGCGGCGACGUCAUGGCGGAGUCUCGUUCGCUUAUUACCAUGGAGAAAACCAUCGACUGAAAUACUGCCGUUAAUCCGCGCUGCAGCCGGCGUCGCCGACGCCAUCGUCGUCGCCAGACAUCACGGCAGAAGCGGCCGAACUAAUUAGAUCUGUGAGAUACAUAUAAUCCUGCCCCGAUAGCCGCG